CCUAACACAUGCAAGUCGAGCGGUAGAGAGAAGCUUGCUUCUCUUGAGAGCGGCGGACGGGUGAGUAAUGCCUAGGAAUCUGCCUGGUAGUGGGGGAUAACGUUCGGAAACGGACGCUAAUGCCGCAUACGUCCUACGGGAGAAAGCAGGGGACCUUCGGGCCUUGCGCUAUCAGAUGAGCCUAGGUCGGAUUAGCUAGUUGGUGAGGUAAUGGCUCACCAAGGCGACGAUCCGUAACUGGUCUGAGAGGAUGAUCAGUCACACUGGAACUGAGACACGGUCCAGACUCCUACGGGAGGCAGCAGUGGGGAAUAUUGGACAAUGGGCGAAAGCCUGAUCCAGCCAUGCCGCGUGUGUGAAGAAGGUCUUCGGAUUGUAAAGCACUUUAAGUUGGGAGGAAGG
rnacentral:rRNA from 1 species